UACAGAGGUCCCGAGCGUUGUUCGGAUUCAUUGGGCGUAAAGGGUGCGUAGGCGGCGGGGCAAGUCUGAUGUGAAAUCCCAGGGCUCAACCCCGGAACUGCAUUGGAUACUGCCUUGCUCGAGUACUGGAGAGGGAACUGGAAUUUACGGUGUAGCAGUGAAAUGCGUAGAGAUCGUAAGGAAGGCCAGUGGCGAAGGCGAGUUCCUGGACAGUUACUGACGCUGAGGCACGAAGGCCAGGGGAGCAAACGGG
rnacentral:rRNA from 1 species